UAGAGUUGAUAGAUUCAGGACAAAGACAGAAUUAAUUGGUGAAGCAAUAUCCCAGAGGAUGGAAGAUAAAAGUUAAGUCCACAUGAAAAAGUUGGCCUUGAACAGGAAAAGGAACACCUUAUCCUCUGAGAAUGAAGAGAAUGAGGAAAGGACUGAUGCAGAUGUAGAUAAAUUUGUGGACAUGGGUGGGGCAGGAGGCUGAAGUCGCUCAAGCCUAACUGCAUGACUGUCGCAAGUCCUAGCCAAUGCCUUCCAGGAGCACACGCAGUAUGCAGCUUCCCCAUUUCCAAGAACCGAAAGAAUGUGGACUAAGAUGAUGACAGCUCCAGGAACCAGCCCAGACGGAGCCACUGGAGAGCUUCCCCAUAAGGUAUCAUUAUUUAUCUAAAUCUCCGGAGCCAUUGAGGACCAAGAUCAUACUUGCUGAAUAAAUGCACGGAACAGGAUCAGAGGAUAGACACAGAAUGGGCCAAGAAGAGAAAUAUUAUUCCUCAUAAGAGCUUGCUUGAUUGCCACCACCAAGGACAUCCCCAAACCAGGGGCAAGAAGGACCAUCAGUAAUUCUUUCCCAUAAAUAGUGACAGGAAGAAAAUAAACGCCCUAUUCUUCAAUGAUUUGAACCACCUCUGGAGCACGAACUUCCUCUAAAUUCACAGGGCAAAUAUCCAUCAUGGGGCAGGUAUCUAUGCUGCCAUGGAAAGUAACAUAAAAUGUACUAAGUCAUCACAGGGAGUUUUAAUUUUGUUUUUAAGGUCAAUUGCCAUGCUGGGGUAAAAAGCAUUGAUCCUUGCCUUUUAUCACCGGAAAAAUUCUUCACCAGUACUUUGUGAAAAUCUCGCCUCAUCAGGGCUGCCAAGGUCAAUGCAACCUAAGUAACCAAGCUGGGAGAUGCUUGCCUAAUUAUUAAAUAUUUAGCAAACAGUUUGUGACUAUUUAACUGUUUGCACCUGGCACCCUCUUUUCACUACGUGAGGCCUCCUGGCACCCUGACCUCUUCCCCCACCCCUACCCACUGCCCAGGCCGCCAGCACCCCUGGGGGGCAAAUACCGGGACCCAAGGGCAUUUCAAAGAAACAGCAGAGGUCACAUUCCAUUUCCUUUUUAUUAAAAAACAUACUUAAAAUGGGGGAGGAGGGCACAGAUCUAAGGUAAAAUCUCUUGCAGUUUUUUCAAGUUCGCAUGCACCGUUGAAAGUUCAUUAGUUAGGGAUUUAAAAGCAAAAAUGUUUCACACAACCAAUUAAACGCCAAGCUUUACAAACGCCUUGGUCUUUGGUUUUGGGAAUCUGUAAAAGUCCG
rnacentral:lncRNA from 1 species